GCAUCCGUAGCUCAGCUGGAUAGAGUACUCGGCUACGAAACCGAGCGGUCGGAGGUUCGAAUCCUCCCGGAUGCACCA
rnacentral:tRNA from 1 species